ACAAGCCUUUGUUUUUUGGAGACACUUUUUGAAACUCAUUUUUUGACGCGUGAGACAUGUAUGAACUGUUGAACUAUGAUUUCAUUCAACAACGCAUGUUUUCUUGGCUUGUAUGCUGGAAACCUUGCUUGAUGCUUGGAAAUUCUUGGAAAUUACUUAGGUUCAAAUUAAAUGAAUUGCUAGAAUUUGUAGGAGGUAACUGCUCAUGUACAAAUGAGGGAGGCUACCUUAGAUCUGAUAAAGGACCAUAGAAAAAAUCAUGAAAUAUUGAAGGCAAAAUUUGAUUUUUAGAGUGACUUGUUCUAGAGGGACAUAUAUUCGGUCACUUUGUGCAGAUUUUGGGAAGGCUCUUGGCAAGUAUUAGUUUCUGCGAGAAACCUUGCAUAAUUGGUAGAAGUUGAGUCUCACACUGUUAUCUUGUUCGUGAUUUAUUUGUUGUUUAAUUUAACCUCUAUAAUUAGUCUUAUGAUUUGAUGUUAUCCCACUAAUGUUCAGUUUUAUACAUAAGCAAUGAAAGUUUUGUUGCUAAUAUAUUCACACAUGUUGUUUCAUAUUUCAUAUUGUACUUUGUAAAUUUCAAUUUGCUUCAUUCAAACAUGUUUCCUUGUUCAAGAGGUCAUGGAUUAGAAUACAGAAGUAGGAUCAGCUUAUCUUAGAGAGAACCAUGAACAAUCAAGGAGUUUGGAUCAUAUUAGAAUUUAUUUGUAAAACAUUUAGAGUUUUAAAUUUGGAUGACUGUAAUAUAUG